GCCGGGUGCGGUGGCGCGCGCCUGUAAUCCAAGCUACCGGGAGGCUGAGGCUGGCGGAUCGUUUGAGCUCAGGAGCUCUGAACUGCAGCGGACUAUGUCGAUCGGGUGUCCGCACUAAGUUCGGUAUCGAUAUGGUGCUCCUGGGGGAGCCCUGGACCACCAGGUCGUCUAAGGAGGGGUGCACCGGCCCAGGUCGGAAACGGAGCAGGUCAAAGCCCCCGUGCCGCUCAGUAGUGGGAUCGCGCCUGUGAAUAGACGCUGUAGUGCAGCCUGAGUAAUACAGCGGGACUCAGUCUUUU
ensembl:misc_RNA Metazoa_SRP Metazoan signal recognition particle RNA